GUUCUCGGUGGCGAGGUUAAGGCCUGAUGGGCCGGAGCCGUAGCGAAAGCGAGUCCGAACAGGGCGUAUAGUCACCGGGAUCGGACCCGAAGCCAGGCGAUCUACCCAUGGCCAGGGUGAACGUCGGGUAAGACCGACGGGAGGCCCGAACCCGUGGAGGAGGAAAACUCCUGGGAUGAGCUGUGGGUAGCGGUGAAAAGCCGGACGGGUCCUGGUAAUAGCUGGUUCUCCCCGAAAUAGUUUUAGGACUAGCCUCACUUUCGAAGCCGGCGGGGGUAGAGCACUGGAUGGGUGCGGCGACAGCCAAACCCAACCAAACUCCGAAUACCGUCGGUGGAUUAGUGGGAGUCAGUCCGUGGGGGAUAAUCUUCACGGGCGAGAGGGGAACAACCCAGACCGCCAGCUAAGGCCCCCAAGUCUGGACUAAGUGGUGAAGGAUGUUUCUCCGCCGAGACAGCCGGGAGGUUGGCUUAGAAGCAGCCAUCCUUGAAAGAAAGCGUAAUAGCUCACCGGUCGAGUGGGGGAGCGCCGAAGAUGUAGCGGGGCUCAAGUCCAGCGCCGAAGCUGCGGAUAGGGAGCUUUCAGCCGUCAGCAUUCAGCUUUCAGCUCUUGGGCUGAUCGCUGAUAGCUGAACGCUGAUCGCUCUCUGUGGUAGGGGAGCGUUCCCAGUGGAGUGAAGCCGAGCCGUAAGGUGAGGUGGACCGCUGGGAAGUGAGAAUGCCGGAAUGAGUAGCGCGAGCCGAGUGAGAAUCUCGCCCACCGAAUGCCUAAGGUUUCCUGGGGAAGGCUGAUCCUCCCAGGGUUAGGCGGCCCUAAGGUGAACCCGAAAGGGGUAGCCGAUGGACAGCCGGUUAAUAUUCCGGCCCCUCUUCCAAGCGAUGACCAAGGGGGGACGCCGCAGGCCAGGUCCGAGCGGGGUUACGGAUAUCCCCGUGCAACCGCUAAGGCGUCGGGCGUUAGGCAAAUCCGGCGCCCGGUCAAGUCGAGGCGGGAUGCGGAGUCGCUACGGCGGCGAAGGAGGGCAGGUCAGCGGCCAAGAAAAGCCUCUAGGGAGCUUGGAAGAGACCGUACCGCAAACCGACACAGGUAGGCGAGGAGAGAAUCCUCAGGUGGGCGAGAGAAACCUCGUUAAGGAACUCGGCAAAAUGACCCCGUAACUUCGGGAGAAGGGGUACCCUCUUCGGAGGGUCGCAGUGACCAAGCCCAGGCGACUGUUUAGUAAAAACACAGCUUUCUGCUAACCCGAAAGGGGAUGUAUAGGAAGUGAAACCUGGCCACUGCCGGAAGGUCAAGGGGAGGGGUGCAAGCUCUGAACUGAAGCCCCGGUGAAGGCCGGCGGUAACUAUAACCGUCCUAAGGUAGCGAAGUUCCUUGUCGGGUAAGUUCCGACGUGCAUGAAUGGUCCAACGACCUGGGCGCUGUCUUAACGAGGACCUCGGCGAAAUUGAAGCGCCGGUGAGAAUGCCGGCGACCCGCGGCAGGACGGAAAGACCCCGUGGAGCUUUACUGGAGCUUGGCAUUGGGUCUUGGUGUUCGUUGUGUAGGAUAGGUGGGAGGCCGUGAAGCCGGGGCGCUAGCCUCGGUGGAGCCAUCCUUGAAAUACCACCCUGCGGGCAUUAGGGCUCUAACCGACCGCCGUGAAGAGCGGCGGAGGGACAGUGCUAGGCGGACAGUUUGACUGGGGCGGUCGCCUCCCAAAAGGUAACGGAGGCGUGCAAAGGUCGGCUCAGGCGGGUUGGCGAUCCGCUGAGGAGUGCAAGGGCACAAGCCGGCUUAACUGUGAGACCGACAGGUCGAACAGAUGCGAAAGCAGGCCCUAGUGACCCGGUGGUCCCGCGUGGAAGGGCCAUCGAUCAUCGGAUAAAAGUUACCCCGGGGAUAACAGGCUAGUACCCCCCGAGAGUCCACAUCGACGGGGGUGUUCGGCACCUCGAUGUCGGCCCAUCUCAUCCUGGGGCUGAAGCAGGUCCCAAGGGUUGGUCUGUUCGCCCAUUAAAGAGGUACGCGAGCUGGGUUUAGACCGUCGUAAGACAGGUCGGUCCAUAUCCGCCGCGGGCGGAGGAGGCUUGAGGGGCGCUCCCUCUAGUACGAGAGGACCGAGGGGGCUGGACCUCUGGUGUACCAGUUGUCCCGCCAGGGGCAUCGCUGGGUAGCUACCGUCCGGACGGGAUAAGCGCUGAAGGCAUCUAAGCGCGAAGCCCACCCCAAGAUUAGGCCUCCGACUCGAGGGUCCUUCGGGACCCGAGAGGUAAGGGCCCUGCGAGACCAGCAGGUAGAUAGGCCGCAGGUGGAAGCGCAGCAAUGCGUUGAGCCGAGCGGUACUAAUCGCCCGAGCGCUUGCGUGAU
rnacentral:rRNA from 1 species